UACAGAGGCGGCAAGCGUUGUUCGGAAUUAUUGGGCGUAAAGAGCACGUAGGCGGCCUUGCAAGUCAGUUGUGAAAGCUUUCUGCUUAACGGAAGAACAGCAGCUGAUACUGCAAGGCUAGAGUGCGGAAGGGGAGAGUGGAACUUCUGGUGGAGCGGUGAAAUGCGUAGAUAUCAGAAGGAACACCGGCGGCGAAGGCGACUCUCUGGUCCGUAACUGACGCUGAGUGUGCGAAAGCUAGGGGAGCAAACGGG
rnacentral:rRNA from 1 species